AGGGUAGAUCAGUAUUUGGUUCAUAUGGCUUUUGUUCAGAUCUUGGUUCUUUUGUUUGUGGUGUUUUUGGGCUGUUCUUUGUGCUAUUGUGUUCAGACACACUUUUUUCAAGAUGACGAUUCUGAAAGUGAACAGAGUCCAGACUGAUUCUGGGUUUCACAGGCACUUUUUAUAGGACUUCUCUCUUAUAUGCACACUGUAUUUGCUUGAUUCAUAUCAAUAUGUAUGCACUUGCCUUAUAUGGAACUUAGUCAGGUGUAUCAAGUUGGAUGGAAGAAUUGGAAAAAUGGGUGUGCAUUUGAUUAAAUGGGCUCACAUAGAUUUCUGCAAGCGACCUGAAUACAAAUCAGUGAGCUAAAAAUCUGGCCUUUUUUUGAGUAUAGUUCUGGAGGAUCUAUGCAUUGUAUGUUUGUUCUGUCAACAGCUAAGAAAAUGUUAUACCACUAGGGUUUGAUCUAGAUCUAUGGGUUAAUUGAAAAUCUCUCUUAGUCAUAAGUGUGAGCAGGAAGUUGAGAAUAAGUUUGGUAUAUUUUUUAUUUGUUUUUGUAAUAUUUUUUUUAUUCGUAUUUUUUAUCAUAUUAUGUGAUCUAUCAUCAGGAUGAGAUAAGCAAAGAACAAUCAGAAUUUAUUAAAGUCUAAGCGAUUUGAAAUGGGCA